UAUAUUGUCUUGGGUUUAUGUGUUGGGUGUGGGUGCCAGUCCAAGUAUCGGAUAUUUCUAUAUCUAAGAAUUUCCUCUUAUGGAGCCAUGUACACGUGUCUUAUCAAUGUUCGUGUUCAAGUAUUGGUGGGUGCAAGUAUUUUGGGCUAAAUUGAAGUGUCAGGGUAACAAGCUGCCUUGUCAACUAAAUGCAUUAUUUUCUAGGCCAUCAUGAUAUUUUCUGUUUUACUCCUGCUCUGAAUAAAGGCACCUAGUUCCUAGGACACAAAGAUGAUAGAUUUACUAUAUUAACUAGUAAUUUUGGCUAUGACCUUGUAUAUAAAGAGUAUUAUGUAAACUUUCUAAUCUUUUAGUGCCGAAGCAUUCUGCUUCUUAGGGAUUAAUGUAAUAAAUGUAAAAUUCCAAGCUU
rnacentral:lncRNA from 1 species